UGGAGAUAAGCUGGGAUUCCAACCAGAGGAGUGGUUUGCCUACAGAAGGUUUUGGACUAGUGUAUUACCAGAAAAUACAUUGACUAUCACAGAUAGUAAGAAAAUUUUCAAAAUGCAUGAAUCAAGAAUAAGGGAAUCUGAGUUUCAGGAGGAAUACAGUCCAUAAUGGCAAUGAAGAUAUGGCAGCUGGAGUAUGAGGCCACCCUCAGUCAGGAAGCAGAAUGAUCACAUUUGCUGUGUACAUGGGAAGUCAAGAGAAAUAACAGGAUGUGGGACAAAGCGCUACAACCUCAAAUUCGAAUGCCGUGGCAUACUUCCUCUAGCAAGACUCCACAUCCUAAAGAUUCUUGUUUAACUGAGCUUUGUCUAUCAAUGUACACAGCCUAGAGUCACUGGGAGUCUCAACUAAAAAACUUCUCAGAUCAGAUUAACCUGCAGAUAUGUCUACAUGCGAUUUUCUUGAUUGACAUUAAUGUGGGAGGACCCAGACCUCUGUAGGACUCCAGUACCCUUUACAUGUGGACUUAGGUUAUUAAAAAUACCCUGUGAGUGUGAUCAGCAAUGAUCGAGAGAUCAA